rnacentral:rRNA from 1 species
AGGACGAACGCUGGCGGCGUGCUUAACACAUGCAAGUCGAGCGGUAAGGCCCUUCGGGGUACACGAGCGGCGAACGGGUGAGUAACACGUGGGUAACCUGCCCUGUACUGUGGGAUAAGCCUGGGAAACUGGGUCUAAUACCGCAUAUGACUGCAUUCCGCAUGGGGUGUGGUGGAAAGUUCUGGCGGUACAGGAUGGGCCCGCGGCCUAUCAGCUUGUUGGUGGGUGAUGGCCUACCAAGGCGACGACGGGUA